GGAUGUGAGGGCGAUCUGGCUGCAACAUCUGUCACCCUCAUUGCUCCGUGUGUGUCUCUCCUGAAGCUGUGUGCUUGGUAGAAGAGAACGACCUUCCCUGAAUAGAGGAGGGCCAGAUUUGUGUGAC
rnacentral:snRNA from 1 species